rnacentral:rRNA from 1 species
AGUGAGUGGCGAACGGGUGAGUAACACGUGGACAACCUGCCUCAAGGCUGGGGAUAACAUUUGGAAACAGAUGCUAAUACCGAAUAAAACUUAGUGUCGCAUGACAAAAAGUUAAAAGGCGCUUCGGCGUCACCUAGAGAUGGAUCCGCGGUGCAUUAGUUAGUUGGUGGGGUAAAGGCCUACCAAGACAAUGAUGCAUAGCCGAGUUGAGAGACUGAUCGGCCACAUUGGGACUGAGACACGGCCCAAACUCCUACGGGAGGCUGCAGUAGGGAAUCUUCCACAAUGGGCGAAAGCCUGAUGGAGCAACGCCGCGUGUGUGAUGAAGGCUUUCGGGUCGUAAAGCACUGUUGUAUGGGAAGAACAGCUAGAAUAGGAAAUGAUUUUAGUUUGACGGUACCAUACCAGAAAGGGACGGCUAAAUACGUGCCAGCAGCCGCGGUAAUACGUAUGUCCCGAGCGUUAUCCGGAUUUAUUGGGCGUAAAGCGAGCGCAGACGGUUUAUUAAGUCUGAUGUGAAAGCCCGGAGCUCAACUCCGGAAUGGCAUUGGAAACUGGUUAACUUGAGUGCAGUAGAGGUAAGUGGAACUCCAUGUGUAGCGGUGGAAUGCGUAGAUAUAUGGAAGAACACC